UACAGGCUUAACACAUGCAAGUCGAGGGGCAUCAGGAAGAAAGCUUGCUUUCUUUGCUGGCGACCGGCGCACGGGUGAGUAACACGUAUCCAACCUGCCCUUUACUCGGGGAUAGCCUUUCGAAAGAAAGAUUAAUACCCGAUGGCAUAAUGAUUCCGCAUGGUUUCAUUAUUAAAGGAUUCCGGUAAAGGAUGGGGAUGCGUUCCAUUAGGUUGUUGGUGAGGUAACGGCUCACCAAGCCUUCGAUGGAUAGGGGUUCUGAGAGGAAGGUCCCCCACAUUGGAACUGAGACACGGUCCAAACUCCUACGGGAGGCAGCAGUGAGGAAUAUUGGUCAAUGGGCGCUAGCCUGAACCAGCCAAGUAGCGUGAAGGAUGAAGGCUCUAUGGGUCGUAAACUUCUUUUACAUAAGAAUAAAGUGCAGUAUGUAUACUGUUUUGUAUGUAUUAUAUGAAUAAGGAUCGGCUAACUCCGUGCCAGCAGCCGCGGUAAUACGGAGGAUCCGAGCGUUAUCCGGAUUUAUUGGGUUUAAAGGGAGCGUAGGUGGACUGGUAAGUCAGUUGUGAAAGUUUGCGGCUCAACCGUAAAAUUGCAGUUGAUACUGUCAGUCUUGAGUACAGUAGAGGUGGGCGGAAUUCGUGGUGUAGCGGUGAAAUGCUUAGAUAUCACGAAGAACUCCGAUUGCGAAGGCAGCUCACUGGACUGCAACUGACACUGAUGCUCGAAAGUGUGGGUAUCAAACAGGAUUAGAUACCCUGGUAGUCCACACAGUAAACGAUGAAUACUCGCUGUUUGCGAUAUACAGUAAGCGGCCAAGCGAAAGCAUUAAGUAUUCCACCUGGGGAGUACGCCGGCAACGGUGAAACUCAAAGGAAUUGACGGGGGCCCGCACAAGCGGAGGAACAUGUGGUUUAAUUCGAUGAUACGCGAGGAACCUUACCCGGGCUUAAAUUGCAGUGGAAUGAUGUGGAAACAUGUCAGUGAGCAAUCACCGCUGUGAAGGUGCUGCAUGGUUGUCGUCAGCUCGUGCCGUGAGGUGUCGGCUUAAGUGCCAUAACGAGCGCAACCCUUAUCUUUAGUUACUAACAGGUUAUGCUGAGGACUCUAGAGAGACUGCCGUCGUAAGAUGUGAGGAAGGUGGGGAUGACGUCAAAUCAGCACGGCCCUUACGUCCGGGGCUACACACGUGUUACAAUGGGGGGUACAGAAGGCAGCUAGCGGGUGACCGUAUGCUAAUCCCAAAAGCCUCUCUCAGUUCGGAUCGAAGUCUGCAACCCGACUUCGUGAAGCUGGAUUCGCUAGUAAUCGCGCAUCAGCCACGGCGCGGUGAAUACGUUCCCGGGCCUUGUACACACCGCCCGUCAAGCCAUGGGAGCCGGGGGUACCUGAAGUACGUAACCGCAAGGAUCGUCCUAGGGUAAAACUGGUGACUGGGGC
rnacentral:rRNA from 1 species